rnacentral:rRNA from 1 species
GUUAUAUGGUCAAGUGAAGAAGCGCAUACGGUGGAUGCCUUGGCAGUCAGAGGCGAUGAAAGACGUGGUAGCCUGCGAAAAGCUUCGGGGAGUCGGCAAACAGACUUUGAUCCGGAGAUGUCUGAAUGGGGGAACCCAGCCAUCAUAAGAUGGUUAUCACACACUGAAUACAUAGGUGUGUGAGGCGAACCAGGGGAACUGAAACAUCUAAGUACCCUGAGGAAAAGAAAUCAACCGAGAUUCCCUUAGUAGUGGCGAGCGAACGGGGACUAGCCCUUAAGCUUCUUUGAUUUUAGCGGAACGCUCUGGAAAGUGCGGCCAUAGUGGGUGAUAGCCCUGUACGCGAAAAGGUCUUAGAAGUGAAAUCGAGUAGGACGGAGCACGAGAAACUUUGUCUGAAUAUGGGGGGACCAUCCUCCAAGGCUAAAUACUACUGACUGACCGAUAGUGAACCAGUACCGUGAGGGAAAGGCGAAAAGAACCCCGGAGAGGGGAGUGAAAUAGAACCUGAAACCGUAUGCGUACAAGCAGUGGGAGCCUACUUUGUUAGGUGACUGCGUA